AAGAUGUACGCAGUCAGAAUUGUUUUUGAACUUUAUAAAAUAAAUAAAUAAAUAUACAUUUGAUUUAUUUUAUUUUUUAAAAUAUAAUUUUCGUUAAAGUGAAAUAACUUUAUAGCUAAAACUUUACUUGGUUGAAUACUUGUUUGGCACCUUUUGUUGGAUUUUCUCGUGCAACUCCCUAGGUCCAUCUAUAAAGUGUCUUCACUCUACUCAAGCACAUGAGGAUCAUUUCAGCCUAGAAUGAGGUCAACAGAGAGAAUGGAUUUUCAUGGGAGGGUGGUUGCCCUCUCUGUUUGGCCUAUGAUUUCUCCAAACUCAACAACCCUCCCUCUUAUUUCUCAACAAAAACCAAAAAAAAAAUAAAAAAUGAGCAUAACAUAACGUUUAUAUCAACAGCAAGAGCCAAGAGCAGUACUAUAAUUAUUACUUCCCUUUUCAUCUUUUUUACCUUUCUUUAAAAAACUGUCCACAAAUUGCUACUACCAAAAAAAGAGAGGCAAUGAUGAUGAUGAUAUUUAUUGUUUGCUGUGUGAUAAUGUAUUCUGGGCUGAAAUUAUUAUUCGGGGCAAUGGAGAAAACCCGACCCGUAUCUUGGCGGGGCAAAAACCCGAAACCCGGUUCGUUUUGCAGCCAUGGCGUUGUCGUAUUUUUCUCCGUUUUGUUCCCCCCAUUUUACACACAUCUGAGCCUCCCUCUAUCUGACAAAUUCGGAUCCGGGUCGGAUCGGAAUUUCGGAUCUUGAUGGAAAUCCAUUCAUUUUAGCUCAAAAGACUGAGGUAAUUGGAGAAAUAUUGGGAUUUUUUGGUAUCCGGUAUGUCAAUGAUUUCUACUUUUCUAAUUAACAACCUUUUUUAGCUUUUGCUGUAAUUUCCUCUAUUUUGUUUCGGGGACUUGCAUUUUAAUAAUGCGAUAUUAAUUUGAGAAAGAUUUGCAACUUAUAGUAUUUUUCGUAUAGUCUUCUAACUAUCUGAAUUUAAAUUUUAAAUAUUGCAGUAAUAUAAUUUAGUUUAGUUUCGAAGAUUAGUCAAAUUGAUUUUGAUGAAGUAAAUCGUGACAGUAAAAGUAAACGGAGGGAGUAGAUAUCAAUGGGCAUAAAAAUUGCACGUUUUCGGGACAUAAGUUAAGUUCUUGAGAAACUGAAGUUAUGUUUUGACAUAACUUGUGGGAUAUUAUUAUAAGAAAAAUAUAAACUUAUGUCUCAGCGAAAAAAUUGUUUGUUACGAGGCACGUAAAUUAAAGACAAGCACAAAUGACAAACCAAACCAACAGGGAGAAAAAGGGGAUUUCUUUGGAGGGUGGUUGCCUCCUCUGAUUGGCCUAUGAUUUCUCCUUUAACCAAACCAACAACCCUCUUCAAAAGUGGAAACAAGAAGCAAUCUUUGCUGUCAUUGCCUUAAAGAGGUGGUGAUAUGAUGCUGAUGGCAGCAGUACUAUCAGGUAUCGUUCGGUAGAGUGUGUAAGAAACUGAAGUUACGCCUUAAGUUAUGGAAAUAUAAAUUCAUGCCUCGCAAAAAAGUUGUUUGCUAUGAGGGUAAUAAAUUAAGGACCAACAAAAAACAGGGGUAAAAAUGCGAAUGACCCAGUUAAUGGAAGCUCUCAGUCCAUAAUGAAGAAUGAGGCCAACAGGGGGAAAGGGAAUUUUCUUUGGAGGAUGGUUGCCCCUCUGAUUGGCCUAUGAUUUCUCCUUUAACCAACAACCCUAUGCAAAAGUGGAAAAAAGAAAUAUUGUUUGUCGUUAUCGCCUUCAGUGGUGGCGAUGUGAUGCUGAUGGCAGUAGUAAUAUUCAAUUUUUUGAUCAUUCUGAGGUACGUUUAAUUGCACCGUCAUAAAUUCUUUGAAGGUGCGGGGCAAUAGUGCAAAUGACCCUCUGAGCUAAGGUCUCAUUUGUUUUAUGCUUAUGCUUAAAAGCCACUUAAAAUAAUUCCAUCGAAACAGGCUCUUGUUAUUUUUUCUUGUGAAGGUUGUUCAAAACGGGUUCUUUUGGAAAAGUUUCCAUUUUUGUCGAAAGAGGCAGUGAUGAUAUUGCUAAACUGGGCUGAUGUUUGGGGGCAUGGAGACAGUCUUACCCGUAUCUUGGCAUGGCAAACCUAGAUGUCUUGUGUUUGAGUCUUCUCUUUCACAUGUAGCUGGUUCUUUUGCAGCCAUGGCGGUUAUUGCCUUCUCUUUGUCCCCUUUUUUGCAGCUCUGAGCCUCAAUUUCCAACUACAGGAGUCAAUUGUAUGCGGCCUUGUUAGACAUCAAUUAAUAUUAACUCUCUUUAGCUGUCUAUAAAGAAUCUUUUACUCAAGAAUGAGGAUCAUUUCAGAUGGAAUGAGGCCAACAGAGAAAAAAUGGUGUGUUCAUGGUGGGUGGUUGCCCUCUCUGAUUGGCCUAUGAUUUCUCCUUUAACCCAACCAACAACCCUUCCUUGCCAUUGACCGCAACAGUAUGGUACUCCUUAUUAUUAUUAUUAUUAUUGCUUCCUCCGUUCCAUCUUUGUACUUUUCUUGAAAAAUUGUCCACAAAUUGCCACACCAAAAAAGAGGUAAUGAUGAUGAUAUAUACUGUGUGGUGAUUCUGGGCUGACAUUAUUGUUCGGGGCAUGGAGAAAACCCGACUCGUAUGUUGUCGAGCAAACCCCGGUUCGUUUUGCAGCCAUGGCAUUGUCAUCUUUUUCUCCUCUUUUGCCGAUUUUACACACAUCUGAGUCGCUAUUUCAGAAUUCGGAUCCAACCCGGAUCCAGCUUGAUAAAAACCCAGUUCAGUUUAGCUCAAAGACUUGAGGCAAUUGGAGAAAAAUUGGGAUUUUUUUUUCAGAGUGGUUGACCAUAUAUCCGGUAUGUCAAUGAUUUCUUAUUUGCUCUUAUCAACAACCCUUUUUAGCUUUUGCUGUUAUUUCUUGGAUUUAGGGGACUUACACUUUAAUAUGAGAAGGAUUGCAACUUAUAGUAUUUUUUGUAUGGUUUUUAAAUAUUUAAAAUUUAAAUAUAAAAUAUUGCAUUUAUCUAAUUCAAUUUUGCUUCAAAGAUUAGUCAAAUCGACUGGCGUGAGGCAAAACGUGACAAGUCAAAUUGACUCCUGUGAGGCUAAAAUGUGUCAAGUAAAAGUGAACGAACAGAGGGAGUAGAUAGCAAUGAACAUAAUAUUGCACAUUUUGGGGAAACAAAUUCCUUAGAAACUGAGUUAUGCUCGAUAUAACUUGUGGGAUAUUAUUAUAUGGAAAUAUAAUCUUAUGUCUCACAAGAACUUUUGUUACAAGGUGCAUAAAUUAAAGACCAACACAAAAUAGCGGUAAAAGUGCUAAUGACCCAGUAAUGGCCCACACAAAAUUGCGGUAAAAGUGCUAAUGACCCAGUAAUGGAAGCUCAGUUCAGUUAUGAAGAAUGAGGCCAACAGGGAGAAAAAGGGUAUUUAUUUUCAGAAAAAAUAAAUAAUUGUCACGGCCAAACAUGUGCUUAAUUGAAUACUUGUUUGACACCUUUUGUUGAAUUUUCUCCUGUAGUUCCGCAGGUCCAUCUAUAAAUGCCUUCACUCUACUCAAGUACAUGAACAUCAAUUCAGCCCAGAAUGAGGUCAACAGAGAGAAUGGAUUUUCAUGGGAGGGUGGUUGCCCUCUCUGAUUGGCCUAUGAUCUCCUUUAACCAAACCAACAACACUUUCCAAAAGUAGAAACAAGAAGCAAUGGUUGUUGCCAUCGCAAUGAAUGUGAUGCCGAUGGGAGAAAUACUCUUCAAUUUUCUGAUCAUACUGAGCUGCAUUUAAUUGCAGUUCUUAAGGGCGUGGGGCAAAAGAGCAAGUGACCCUCUGAGCUAAGGCCUCAUUUCUUUUAUGCUUAUGCUUAAAUGCCGCUUAAAACAAGUCCUCCAUCCAAACAGGCCCUUGUUAAGUUUUUCUUGUUAAGGUUGUUCGAACAGGUUCUUGUGGAACAGUUUCCAUUUUUGUCGAAAGAGGCAUUGAUGAUAUUGCUAAUUUGUGCCCAUUUUUGGGGCAUCUAGACAAUCUGACCAGUAUCUUGGCAAGGCAAACCUGAGUGGCUUGUGAUUGAGUCUUCUCUUUCACAUGCAACUGGUUCUUUUGCAGCCAUGGCGAUUGUCGCCUUCUCUUUGCCCCAUUUUUGUCAGUUCUUAGCCUCAACUUCCAACUAGUCAAGUGGAUGUUGAAGGACUCGAGGAGUUCUGAACCUAAAUGACGAAAAAUCCUCUGUAUACACACACAAACACAUCAUGAGAAGAUGUCAAAAAUUGGUUCCUUAGUAGGACAGUGAUUAUCUUUAAAUCUAUUCUCUUGAGCUAAUAAUUGAGCAUUGAGAGUACCCAACUGGUAUCUUGGCAGGGCAAUGACCUGGAUGGCUGUGAUUUAUUGCAUGCACCUUGGGAAUUUUUGCAGCCAAUGCGUCACCAGACUUUCUUUGCCUGAGCAUAAAUACAGACCUGAAUGUCAAACUAUCAGUUCAUCCCAGAAGAAAGAAUGAGGCCAACAGAAACAAAAAUGGAUUUAUUGGAGGGUGGUUGCCUCUCUGAUUGGCCUAUGAUUUCUCUGUCCCACCAAACCAACAACCCUCUGUUGCUAUAUUUGUGAAAUUUCCAAAAAUAAAUAAAUAAAUAAGUUCCGUUGCUAUUGAUGUGAUGUUGAUAGCAGCAGUAGUACUACACUAAUACUAAUACUCCCUCCGUUCCACUACUUUUCUCGAAAACUGUCCACAAGUUGCUGUAGAAAAGUUUCCAUCUUUCCAAAGAGGCAGUGAUGAUAUUUGCUGAUGAUUCUGGGCUGAAAUUCGGGGCAUGGAGAAAACACGACUUGUAUCUUGGUGGGGCAAACUCGAAGCAUGCAACCGGUUCAUUUUGCAGCCAUGGCGUUGUCAUCAUCUUCUCCUCUUUGCCCCGCUCUCCACAUAUCUGAGCCUCUACUUCAAAUCCAUAUUCAGAUCCUUGUUUAAUGGAAACUCAAUUCGUUUUAGCUCAAAAGGCCAAAACAAUCGGAGAGAAAUGGAGAUCUUUUUUCACGGUGAUUGACUGUCUCUGAGCAAUGCACAUAAAUUUGCACGUUUCGGGGACGUAAGUUCUUUGGAAACUAAAUUUAUGCCAAGUUUGCAGCCAUGGCAGUGUCAAAGAACCCAAUACGCUGAGAUCAACUGCUUAUUCAAAACUUUUUAAGGUCAUCUGCAGUUAUUUUCAGCUUUGCUUUGGAAUUGCAGUGGACAAAAUCUUGUACAUUCUUACUAGCAAUUGUCAAGUUUUGGGCUGAAAUAUGUUUUACUAUAAGCCUUUUUCGUUCUUAUGCCUUGAUGGUUUGUCUAACCUUACUUUUUCCUUUUACCAGCAGCUCUAUGGUUAGAUGGACUGUGCUACAGAUGACGAUAGAUAUUUUUCAGUUGUUGGAACCUAAGUUACUCGGACUCUUCAUUUUCGAUGCUGCACCCGUAUCGACAUGACAUGGGUGUGGGUGUGGGAUCCGCAUUCGAUCUAGUCAAACCGAUUUUGGGUACUUGGACCAUAAUCUACUGGGAAUGUCCGGACAAAUUCAAGAAAUUAUGUAAUCAAAACAAAAGCUAGGGUGAAAUUGAAGAAAAUGACAUAUCUUGUAUAUAGAAAUUUCUAUGUCAUUGCUUUUCUUUUUAUAUCCUUCAGGAUUUUCUUCUUGAACAA